GUAGACAUAGUUUAAUAUAAAACACUAAGCUGUGGAUUUAGUAACAGACCCUUAACAGGCCUUGUCCACC
rnacentral:tRNA from 1 species